rnacentral:rRNA from 1 species
AACGAACGCUGGCGGCAGGCUUAACACAUGCAAGUCGAACGCACCUUUCGGGGUGAGUGGCAGACGGGUGAGUAACGCGUGGGAAUCUACCCUUCUCUACGGGAUAGCUCCGGGAAACUGGAAUUAAUACCGUAUACGUCCUGAGGGAGAAAGAUUUAUCGGGGAAGGAUGAGCCCGCGUUGGAUUAGCUAGUUGGUGGGGUAAAGGCCUACCAAGGCGACGAUCCAUAGCUGGUCUAAGAGGAUGAUCAGCCACAUUGGGACUGAGACACGGCCCAAACUCCUACGGGAGGCAGCAGUGGGGAAUAUUGGACAAUGGGCGCAAGACUGAUCAAGCCAUGCCGCGUGAGUGAUGAAGGCCCUAGGGUUGUAAAGCUCUUUCAGUGGGGACGAUAAUGACGGUACCCAAAGAAGAAGCCCCGGCUAACUUCGUG